GCCGGUAAAAAGGGUGAAUGCCGAUGGGAAAAAGAUUCUUCCCCUAUAGGCAUUUUCCCAACAAAGUAUGAAUGGGCCGGAGCUCCAGGAACAGGGGAUUGUUCCCUUCGUGUUCUCAACUCCUCUAUUGAGUUUGAUGAUGGGAUUUGGCAGUGCAAAGUGACGGCGUCGAGUUUUAGUGCAAAGGGAUGCCCUCAUAUCACAAGGGGCUCAGCUUGUUGUACGAGAGAGCCCCAAUUCCAUCAUUAUUCAACGAAUUGGAAAUAUUGAAUCAGAGAUAAUCGCAUCUGCAGGUGAAGAUGUGGAGUUGGAAUGCAUUUCAACGGGUGGUAACCCUCCCGCACAAGUCAAAUGGUUUUUAGAUGAUCAGGAAAUUGCAUUUGGACAUGCUCAAGAUAAUCGAAAAAGCUCCAAGGAGUCGCGUACAUGGAUUUCUGUCUCUAAACUGACGCUUCCCGUUAAUAAGGAAGAUAAUGGAGCACAACUUGUAUGUAUGGCGGAGCAUCCGGCUCUGGAUAAGCCCAUUCAAGCUAAAACGAAAAUGACGAUUCAUUAUCCACCCAAUGUUAAGGUACAAACGACGUCCCUCGAGUAUUUGGAAGAUCAAAAGGAUCCAGUAACCCUUACUUGUCAAGUAGAUUCGAAUCCUAGCUCCACGGUUUUGUGGCGAAAAGAGGGGUUGGAUGGGAUUUUUAGUGGUGAAAAAGAAAUUGUGUUCAGUCCAGUCACGCGUCAAACUGCUGGGGUUUAUAUAUGUACUGCUGAGAAUACCUUAGGGCUUAGCAAACCUGCUCUUGUAGAAAUUGAUGUGAAAUACUCUCCACGCAUCCUCUCUGUUGGCCCUGCUCCCACUGUAAUCGCCAGUAUGUACAACAAAACACUUCUCACAUGUGAGGCUGAAGGAAAUCCUCCUCCGCGCUAUCAAUGGCUCCAAAAACUUCCCACUCAAGAAGUCCUCAUUCGUGGAUACAAUAAGCAACUCCUCAUCGACAACGUGACGUACGAUCAUCAAGGAGAAUUUGUCUGCAAGGCAGUGAAUAAAAUCCGAGGAGAGUCACGUGCAGUUCAAUCCCAACCCAUCCGUGUGGAAGUCAAAGGUGCGCCCAAAGUGAAUUCCAUCAUUAGUGAACGGGAAAUCACAGUACAAAAUGGUGAAGACGCCGUUCUGGAAGUGCAUUUCUGUGCGGAUCCUUUACCCAAACAGUCUUGGCAUUUAGGGGAUAUGGGAUCUGGAUCAGGGAAUAAUAUUAUCCUUGCAGCGGGUACGGGACAUGGUCGAUUCAUUGCAGAGAAAGAACAGAAAUCCACCAAAGAGGAUUGCUAUAUCUCCAUACUUAAAGUAAAUGGAGCUCAUUCAGCUGACUCUGCCCCUUAUGAGCUUCGUAUAUCCAAUGAUCACGGAUCCGAUAGUCACAUUAUUCAUUUGUCUGUUAGAGAUCAUGUUUCACAAGAGUCUCUAAUUGCUGUAAUUGUGGGUUGCAUUUUGACACUUCUUCUUCUAAUACUCAUCAUUAUCUAUGCUGUCAAAGCUGACAAAUGUUGCUGUGGACGAGGCAAGGAUAAAAAGAACUUUAAGCAACAGUCGGAUUUGGAAAGUGAGAAAACAGAUGUGGAAUCCACUCAUUCGAGCAAUCUCAGUGGUCAUCCAGAUAAAAGUGUCAUUCCUCCGGAUGCACUCUACGUUUCCACAUCAGAAAAAAAUCAUCAUCAACACGUCAACCCCUCAAAUCCUCAUCAUCCAUCGUCACAAAACCAUCACCAUAAAUAUAUUUAUAACCAUGACACAUCACUUUUCAAUGAUUCCAAGCACUCAUAGCCUCUUGGAAUUCCAUGUUUCUUUAUUCUUCCUUUCAAAUUCUCAUUAUAAGAAAAGAAAAAAAUAAUCUCAUAAUAUUAUUCAAUAACUUAAAGAUUACUCAUAUUUGACUACGGUAUCCCCAAAAAACAAAAAGACAAGGAGAGUUUACGCCCGGACUUAAUAUCCAACUCGAAUUUAAACCGAACAAAAAGCUCUAGCGAUGAACUCCAUCCCGGACCUGGAGCUAAAGUAUCCUAUAAUGAUCUAUGUUUUCCAAAGACGUCCAACUAUGGCUCAAUGAAGAAAAA
rnacentral:misc_RNA from 1 species